rnacentral:rRNA from 1 species
CGCGUGAGAAUCUACCUUCUAGAUGGGGACAACCGUUGGAAACGACAGCUAAUCCCCAAUAAGCCGAGAGGUGAAACGGGUAUCCGCUAGAAGAGGAGCUCGCGUCCGAUUAGUUAGUUGGUGGGGUAAAAGCCUACCAAGGCAGCGAUCGGUAGCUGGUCUGAGAGGAUGAGCAGCCACACUGGGACUGAGACACGGCCCAGACUCCUACGGGAGGCAGCAGUGGGGAAUUUUCCGCAAUGGGCGAAAGCCUGACGGAGCAACGCCGCGUGUGGGAAGAAGGCUCUUGGGCUGUCAACCACCUUUCUCAGGGAAGAAGACCUGACGGUACCUGAGGAAUCAGCCUCGGCUAACUCCGUGCCAGCAGCCGCGGUAAUACGGAGGAGGCAAGCGUUAUCCGGAAUUAUUGGGCGUAAAGCGUCCGCAGGGGGCGCAUCAAGUCUGCUGUUAAAGGUCGGAGCUAAACUCCGGUAGAGCAGUGGAAACUGGUGCGCUAGAGGGCGACAGGGGUAGAGGGAAUUCCCAGUGUAGCGGUGAAAUGCGUAGAGAUUGGGAAGAACUCCGGUGGCGAAAGCGCUCUACUGGGUCGCACCUGACCCUCAGGGACGAAAGCUAAGGUAGCGAAAGGGAUUAGAUACCCCUGUAGUCUUAGCCGUAAACGAUGGAUACUAGGCGUGGUUUGUAUCGACCCAAGCCGUGCCGAAGCUAACGCGUUAAGUAUCCCGCCUGGGGAGUACGCAUGCAAGUGUGAAACUCAAAGGAAUUGACGGGGGUCCCGCACUAGCGGUGGAGGACGUGGUUUAAUUCGAUGCAACGCGAAGAACCUUACCAGGGCUUGACAUCCCGAGAAGUUUGGGGAAAGUCAGACGUGCUUACGGGUACGCGGAGACAGGUGGUGCAUGGCUGUCGUCAGCUCGUGUCGUGAGAUGUUGGGUUAAGUCCCGCAACGAGCGCAACCCUCGUCCUUAGUUGCCAGCAUUAAGUUGGGCACUCUAGAGAGACCGCCGGUGACAAACCGGAGGAAGGUGAGGAUGACGUCAAGUCAGCAUGCCCCUUAUGCUCUGGGCAACACACGUCCUACAAUGGUCGGGACAAAGGGGAGCAAGCUCGCGAGAUGUAAGCGAAUCCCAGCAAACUCGGCCUCAGUUCAGA